rnacentral:lncRNA from 1 species
ACAUACACACCUGACCCAAAUCUAUAUAACCUACAAAAUAAACCUAAUACCUCAAAACCUACACCAACCCCCAAAAAAACCAACUCCAAUAAUUUAUUCUUCACAUAAAACCAAAACCCCCCAAGCCUUAAUUAACUUGAAAAAAAAAUAAGAAAAAAUAGGGUUGAAUGGCCAAACAGGCCCAAAUCGAAAAGAAAGACCCCAAGCCUAUACCCCUUACCCUUCUUCUCCCUUUCUUCUUUUUCUUUUCUCACAAAAAAUCCUAACCCCAUUAACGAAUACCACCGCCACACCGUUCAAUUGUUGAUUCAUCUUCACACCCACGCACCACCGCACUGAGCCGACACCAAAAGACUCUGAUUCACGAGCACCACCAUCGUUUGUUUCUUACCUAUCCACCACUGAUCACCUCUCUUUUCCUUUACCAUCGGCAAUUAUUCAACAACUCUUCUUCACACACAUCUCCCACACACCACGCACUUACCUAGAACUAAAAUGCCAUCGUCGUCUUUCAAAACCCAUAACACCAACCUUCAAAACACC